AUACCGAAUACUUAUUAUUUUUGCAUGAAAGUAAUAUAAAAGGAAGCGUUUGCUUCGCUAAAAGAUCGGAGUGCGCAACAUUAGCUAGUUGGUGAGGUAACGGCCCACCAAGGCGAUGAUGUUUAGCGGGGUUGAGAGAUUGAUCCGCCACACUGGGACUGAGAUACGGCCCAGACUCCUACGGGAGGCAAGACAGUAGGGGAAUAUUCCACAAUGGACGAAAGUCUGAUGGAGCGACACAGCGUGCAGGAUGAAGGCCCUAUGGGUUGUAAACUGCUGUGGUUAGGGAAGAAAAAGU
rnacentral:rRNA from 1 species